rnacentral:rRNA from 1 species
GAUGAACGCUGGCGGCGUGCUUAACACAUGCAAGUCGAACGAGAAAUGGAGACGGAAACCUUCGGGCGGAAGGCUUCAUUUCGAGUGGCGGACGGGUGAGUAACGCGUGGGUAACCUGCCUCAUACAGGGGGAUAACAGUUGGAAACGACUGUUAAUACCGCAUAAGACCACAGCACCGCAUGGUGCGGGGGUAAAAACUCCGGUGGUAUGAGAUGGACCCGCGUUCGAUUAGCCAGUUGGCGGGGUAACGGCCCACCAAAGCGACGAUCGAUAGCCGAUCUGAGAGGAUGACCGGCCACAUUGGGACUGAGACACGGCCCAAACUCCUACGGGAGGCAGCAGUGGGGAAUAUUGCACAAUGGGGGAAACCCUGAUGCAGCGACGCCGCGUGAGUGAAGAAGUACUUCGGUAUGUAAAGCUCUAUCAGCAGGGAAGAAAAUGACGGUACCUGAGGAAGAAGCCCCGGCUAACUACGUG